CUGUUUGGUGAUUCAGCGUUUUGACUUUAAUAGCAAUGACAAGCACAAACUUAUAGGGUAAGAAAUUUCUUGUUGUUCUUCAUGUAUAUAGGAUACCCUAUACUAUAUAACUUCACUCUUACUAGGGUUCAAGAGAAACCCACAUGUCAGUUGCAGAAUUGGAGUUAGUUCACAAAAACAAACAUGGAGAUCAGAGUAAGGGUCUUGAGGCACAAAUUUUAUGGAUAGCUAUACCGAGGAAAGUCUUUAUAGGGUUUCUGACUUCCUUGGGAGCAACUUUCAGCUUGAGUUCAUAUUAGCUGUUGAUUAUACAGCUUCGUAUGGAGAUUCUUAAAAUCAAUUAGAUGCCUAUCAACAGAGAGAAAGAAAAACGAGUUUUUCUAUGAUGUGGAUGAGCCAGACUAGUUUGUGAAGCUUGGUUUUGGUUCUGCUUUGCUCCGCUCCGCUUGUAUUUUCUUGGGAUUGAGAUGUUGUCGGAAUCUACUAAUGAAACUUUGGACAAAGAUGCGGCAGAGCCGCAGAAGAGUAAACUGAAGAGCUGACUAUUCAGGUGAACAUUAAUGGCCCUCUUAUCCUCUCUACUGCACAGUUAGAGAAAGCUGCAGUUAGAACAUCAACAGGAGAUGUCAGUCUGUGCACUAUGUCAAUAGCUAGUGCCUUAUGUCUUUUGAAAUACAGCUGACAACGUUUCUUAAUGAGCAGGGUCCAGGUCGGCUCUUUUUCAGUGGAAAAACUUCUUAAGUUUGUACAUGAUAUUACUCAACUUUUUAAGACGAGUAAAGCUCGGAAUGACGGGAGGAGAUCUCAUGAAUUACAUCAUGUGCUAGCUGUUGAAUCCUACUGCUUAUGGAGUAUGUAAAGAGCAUAUUGCGUAACUGAGCGGAUGUCGAAUGGUCUCCAAAUGAUAGUGUCAUUGUGGUUUGAUAUUCUUUUCUUGGAUUGAGCAGUUGGAUGCGAAGAUGGAUGUUUACAGGUUUAUACAAAGACGUGAAAAGCGAGUCAUGCCAACCAUGAUGAUGUGAUCAGAUGAGUGCUUGAAGUUACUAGUUGUCACGAAGAAAUGAGCGUUGUACGUAUGGGAUAUAUUCAAUAUGACUCGUCUUCUGAAUUACUCGCUCACUUCUCUGUUAGUUCCGAUUCCAAAGAUUCAGAUCUUGAAAGAUCAAGUGCCUGGGAAUAUAAAUGGAGGACUCAACCGAUGGCAUCAGCAAUUCGUUCUAAAUAGACUAUGAUUUAGGUAUUGUUUUCCUUGUUUCCUACAAAAGAUGUGUAACUACGUUCUACAACCUUUGUCCCUUUACUUCUGAAUUUUUCUAAUGCAGCGUAUAUACCCUUUUCUGUCAA